rnacentral:rRNA from 1 species
AGAGUUUGAUCCUGGCUCAGGAUGAACGCUGGCGGCGUGCUUAACACAUGCAAGUCGAACGAAGCAUUUAGGAUUGAAGUUUUCGGAUGGAUUUCCUAUAUGACUGAGUGGCGGACGGGUGAGUAACGCGUGGGGAACCUGCCCUAUACAGGGGGAUAACAGCUGGAAACGGCUGCUAAUACCGCAUAAGCGCACAGAAUCGCAUGAUUCAGUGUGAAAAGCCCUGGCAGUAUAGGAUGGUCCCGCGUCUGAUUAGCUGGUUGGUGAGGUAACGGCUCACCAAGGCGACGAUCAGUAGCCGGCUUGAGAGAGUGAACGGCCACAUUGGGACUGAGACACGGCCCAAACUCCUACGGGAGGCAGCAGUGGGGAAUAUUGCACAAUGGGCGAAAGCCUGAUGCAGCGACGCCGCGUGAGUGAAGAAGUAUUUCGGUAUGUAAAGCUCUAUCAGCAGGGAAGAUAAUGACGGUACCUGACUAAGAAGCCCCGGCUAACUACGUGCCAGCAGCCGCGGUAAUACGUAGGGGGCAAGCGUUAUCCGGAUUUACUGGGUGUAAAGGGAGCGUAGACGGUGUGGCAAGUCUGAUGUGAAAGGCAUGGGCUCAACCUGUGGACUGCAUUGGAAACUGUCAUACUUGAGUGCCGGAGGGGUAAGCGGAAUUCCUAGUGUAGCGGUGAAAUGCGUAGAUAUUAGGAGGAACACCAGUGGCGAAGGCGGCUUACUGGACGGUAACUGACGUUGAGGCUCGAAAGCGUGGGGAGCAAACAGGAUUAGAUACCCUGGUAGUCCACGCCGUAAACG